rnacentral:lncRNA from 1 species
AACAGUCCUUGCUUUUGUUCCGCUUUCUGAAGCUGGUAUCCUGGGGAGGAGGAGCCACCAAGUGUGAGUGACUUGUUAGUUUUUGUCCAGAGAAGGUAGCCUUCAUCACUGAGGGAAACAUUGAGACCUUUCUCUGAUCUGUCACUGCGACAGAAAUGUUCUUGGAAGUAAUGAAUGAAGUGCAUAAAGACAAAUGAAGUUCAACAUUUUUUUGCAUCAAUAUUGUUUCAUAUUUAGGAAAAAAAUGAGCAAUGGGCUACAUGAGGGCUGAAGGGUACAGGAGACACUCGCAUUACCUGCUCACAGCCCCUCAGAGUAUUUGCUUAUGACUAUGCAAGAGAAGAGUCUGGAUGUGAGGUCAUGGAAGCUCCUCACAAAGCUGAGAUAUUAGAAUCGCGUAGCAGCCCACUAAUAUCAGAUCCUUGCAGAGGCCACACUUUCCUGACUGAUUAGUCAAUGACCAUGGGCUCCUGUCUCUGCCAGACCCCUUAGACUGUGUUCAC